rnacentral:rRNA from 1 species
UGGGGAAUAUUGCACAAUGGAGGGAACUCUGAUGCAGCGACGCCGCGUGAACGAAGAAGGCUUUCGCGUCGUAAAGUUCUUUUAUAUGGGAAGAUAAUGACGGUACCAUAAGAAAAAGCCCCGGCUAACUACGUGCCAGCAGCCGCGGUAAUACGUAGGGGGCUAGCGUUGUCCGGAAUCACUGGGCGUAAAGGGUUCGCAGGCGGAAAUGCAAGUCAGGUGUAAAAGGCAGUAGCUUAACUACUGUAAGCAUUUGAAACUGCAUAUCUUGAGAAGAGUAGAGGUAAGUGGAAUUUUUAGUGUAGCGGUGAAAUGCGUAGAUAUUAAAAAGAAUACCGGUGGCGAAGGCGGCUUACUGGGCUCAUUCUGACGCUGAGGAACGAAAGCGUGGGUAGCAAACAGG